GCCGGGGUGGUGGAACUGGUAGACACGCUAUCUUGAGGGGGUAGUGGGCCAUGCUCAUGCGGGUUCGAGUCCCGCCCUCGGUACCA
rnacentral:tRNA from 1 species